rnacentral:rRNA from 1 species
AUGGGGGUUUCGGCAUUUGACGAGCAGAAGGGCGCGGCGACAUCGGCCGGUGAACGUGAUGAAGCCUUUACGAGGCCCAGCCCCAGCGGCUUCGCCUCUUUCGUCGACAAGCUCCGACGCGACCUGGACAAGAUCGCGGCGGAGGCGACCGACAAGGACGUCCUGCAUGCCCUCGCGGAGCUCAGCGAGGCCGUCCGCAAGAUGGCAACAACGGCGGCCGGGGCCGGCGAGCACGUCUUGUACCACUUGAACUCUGUAGCCACGGGCGACCUCACCCACGAGAUCGACGGGGCCAUCGAGUUGAUGGCAGAGGCGGCCGCGGCAGGCGAAGCAGACUGGGUGAUGGGCACCACGCGGUUGCUCAUGGCGAGCACCGAGGACAUCACCCGCCACCUCACGGAGGCCAUUGACAAAGAGAAAGCAGCGGUGGGCGUGGCCAGCGGUGGAGCGGUCUCGGGCGCCGGCGGGGUUGAAGUCGAAGAACAGGCCGUCGACGGCGAUGCUUCCUUGCAUGAUCGGAUCCAGCAAGAGUUGUACGAGGAGGAGGAGGCCUUCUUGGACGAAUUGGACUACCGCGACAUGGUCUUGGAUGUUGACGAGGCAUUGGAUGAUUUGCGCCUGGAAGCGGCCGGGUGCAGCGUCGGUGACCGUCCACCAACGACAGGGUUUCUUGGUCGAUAUGAAUCACACUGCAAGAUUUCUUGA